rnacentral:RNase_P_RNA from 1 species
GUCUGUCGCUGGUGUCAUUUAGGCACAAGAGGAAAGUCCGGGCAGCAUAGGGUACCCCACUUCUGAAAGUGGAAGCUAUUGGUGACAGUAGGUGAGGGCAGAAGAAAAUAACCGCCUUGCUUCGGCAGGGUAAGGGUGAGAAGGUGGUGUAAGAGACCACCAGCCGGUGGGUGAUCAUCGGGCUGUGUCUGCUGGGGGCUGCAAGUUCGCGUAUACCAUCGUCUGAGGGUUGCCCGUCCGAUUUACGAUGGAGGGUAGAACGCUUGAGCUAUGGGGUGACUCAUAGACUAGAUAAAUGACAGACGCCAUCCGCAAGGGUGGUACAGAACCCGGCUUAUAGG